GGUUCAGGCAAAAGAAGAAAGGUCACAGGCAAAUGAGGGAGUCAUCCAAGUCUUAGGAGAGUCAUGAGAAAGAUGGACGAGAGUCUUAGAUCUAAGUCAGAUGAGGAAGGUGGUUGCUUGUGUGCCUGUCUCCACCGCUAGACUCACUGCAGGAAAGUCAGGACGGUGUCUGUCUUCCAGAAAUAUAGUUCUCAAUAAAUAUUUGUGGAAGGAAUGAAAAAAGAGGGAAAACAGUAGCUGCCGCUGAUUUAUUUGGACCUUCAAGAUGAUGUCCAGUCACCUCUCUGGCCCACCGGGUUUUGUAGGAUGUGGCCUGAUUCUUCAGUGAAACACAAAUCCCCGCUCUGCCUCUUCUGAGUUCUGUGACUUCAGGU